rnacentral:lncRNA from 13 species
CUAGUGCACUAGGUUGGGAAUAUGGUGUCAUUUGGGACAUCUCUUUCCCUCAAGUCUGUACACAUUUACCAACUUCAUCUUCUCCAUCCCUCUCUCCACAGUCUGAGGGGAAAGUACUGUAAUACCCUGUGUAUAUAGCCUCCAAAGAGGGCUUAAAAACCUAACUUCUCUCCUCCCAUCUACCACUAGUGUUAAACAGAACAGGGCUCUCUAGCGCCCCUUGUGGCUGUAAGGCCGAGUGCAGCUCUGUACGGUAUACAGCAGCAGAGCCGAUAGGCUAGCUCUCAGCGGAGAGGGAGGGGUCUGAGUGUUGUCUUGACCAUCCCAGAAGGGUAAUAUGCAGUAAUGUUUCUAGAUAACUCUUUACACACCUUAAUGCAGCCUCGUUCUAAUGAAUCCUCUUUCCUUUCUGGCAAACUGUAAUUGAGCAUUAAGGAGGGAGGGGGGGCGGGGAGGGGGUGGUAUAUGACCAAUAUACCACGGCUCAGGGCUGUUCUUAGGCACGAUGUAUCGCAGAGUAUACAGCCCUUAGCUGUGGUAUAUUGGCCAUAUAUCACAACCCCCCAAGGUGCCUUAUUGCUGUUAUAAACUGGUUAUAAAUAUAACAGUAAAAUACAUGUACGGUCUGAUACCAGGGCUUUCAGGGCUCGACCACCUGGUUUCUAAUCCUCCUUUCUCUAAGUGAUGUUGAUGGAGCGUUAGGUUCCAGCUGAAGCAUGGUGACUGUCGGGGUUCGUCCCGUUCACUAUCUAGGGAACCGGGUGCCAUCUGAGACCGUCCUGGGUAUAGAACGAGGUUUGUUUUGAGUUUGUCGUGUUCUCUGCACGGCCAGGCGACGCUGAACUAUCAGUCGCUGUGUGUUGUUUUUCAAAUGAAGAUAAACGUAGAUUUAUUUUCAGAUCUUUUGUUUCUUGGUUGGUCUCUUUUCAUUCCAGCUGCUAACAAUGUCAUUUUCAUCUCUUUCCACAUUCCGUGUGGUUCCACAGUCCGUGUGUUUUCAUGGGGUUCCACCUGCUUGAUCAUGAACCUCUCCAUAGCGCUGUUAGACACCAUGCCAGCUCCAGGAGGAGCCGGACGGUUCCUGAUUAACGUCUGCUUGUUGCUGGUCAUAGCCUUAAUUAGCAGUGAAACUGAUGCAGGGUAUUUACAGUCAAUGGACCUGAGUUGUAUGUAUUAAACCUAAAUGACUUGUUGUAACACUGAUAUAUGAACUAAUGUGUUCUUCUAGGCUGGUUGUGGUGGGUGUCUGGCUCGUGUUGCUUUCUGGGUAUUAUCUGACCCUAGUGUCUCCACACAGUCAUGUCUGUUGCCAGGCAACGGUUGGUUUGCAUUGCCAUGGUAAUGCUGAGAUAAUAAACUACAACUUGACCCAAUGUUACUUGUUUUGUAGUCUUUAAUUUUAUUUUUACCUGGCCCAAUGUGACUUGUCUUUCUCCUCAGUAAAGACAGUCAGUUUAGUCAGAACCAUGUGGAACUGGUAAAACCCUGCAGGACAGUCAGAACC